rnacentral:lncRNA from 1 species
GUAAGAUUUAUUUAUAAGGGUAAUCCAAGAGAGUAAACAGUCCAGGCAGGGUCAAAACCAGAAGAACGAAGCAGACAUAAACAAGACACUAACGCAAGGCAAGACAAGGAUGACGGGCAUGAAAUAGCAUAACAUUAAACAAGGACUCCGUAACAUAGACUAAGACAGACUGGGUAUUUAUACACAGAAGGAUAAUGGGGAAACAGGAGACAGGUGGGGGGAACAAUCAAUUACGCAACAAGGAGGAAGGUGACCAUAUAAGGGAACAGGAAGUGAUCUGGGACAGACACCGUGAGAAGGAGGACAUCUAGUGGAACCCCGGGGAACAACAACCCAGACACUGUGACAGUACCCCCCCUCUAUGGAGCGGCUCCCAGACGCUCAAAGACAAAACACAACACAGAGACCAGGAGGGAGGCGGACAGGUGGAGGCUCAGGGGGAGGGACGGAGGGCCAGACUAACUGAGGGGAACAGACAGAAACAUAACAGAACUCAAAAAACACAAAACAGAAGUCCAUGAAGGACAUGUUGAGGCGUCCACCAGGGCGGAGCAGAUGACCACCACAGCCAUGUGGUCAAGGCCAGAACCCUCCAGGGCGGAGCGGAAGGCCACCAUGACCUUGUGGUCAAAGUCAGAGUCCUCCAGGGCGGAGCGGACGACCACCACAGCCGUGUGGUCACCGCCAGAGUCCCCCAGGGCAGAGCGGACGACCACCACAGCCGUGUGGUCACCGCCAGAGUCCCCCAGGGCGGAGCGGACGACCACCACGUCCUCGUGGUCACCGCCAGAGUCCCCCAGGGCGGAGCGGACGACCACCACAUCCUCGUGGUCACCGCCUCAGCCUCCAGAACGGCAUCGAUCACCACAUCGGGAACGACCUCGGGCACCGCCUCGGCCUCUCGAACAGCAGCGGGCACCUCCUCGGGAACAGCAUCGGGCACCGCCUCGGGGACCGCAUCGGGCACCGCCUCGGGGACCGCAUCGGGCACCGCCUCGGGGACCGCAUCGGGCACCGCCUCGGGGACCGCCUCGGGGACCGCAUCGGGCACCGCCUCGGAGACCGCAUCGGGCACCGCCUCGGGGACCGCAUCGGGCACCGCCUCGGCCUCUCGAACAGCAGCGAGCACCUCCUCGGGAACAGCCUCGGCCUCGGGAACAGCAUCGGGCACCGCCUCGGCCUCCAGAACGGCAACGGACUGUGCCUCGGAAUCGGGAACAGCAUCGGGCACCGCCCCGACCUCCAGAACAGCGUCGGGUUUCGCUUUGACCUCUGGAACAGCAUCGGGCCUCGCCUCAGCCUCUGGAACAGCAUUGGGCACCGCCUCGGCAUCUGGAACAGCAUCGGGCACCGCCUCGGGAACGGAAACGGUCCGCUCGGGAACGUUCUCCAGGCCUUGAGGGACGGUCGACGCCUGUCUCCUCGUCCUCCGUCCUCUAUGACGGCGAGUCGGUGGAACCUGUACUGGCGACUCAGGCGUAGAAUCAGCCAUCUUGUGCUGUGGCUCUGGGCUGGCGGCCAUCUUGUGCUGUGGCUCUAAACUGAUGGCCAUCUUGGUCUGUGGCUCUAAGCUGGCAGCCAUCGUGUGCUGUGGCGCUGGGCUGGUGGCCAUCUUGUGCUGUGGCUCUGGGCUGGCAGCCAUCUUGUGCUGUGGCGCUGGCUCAGCGGCCAUCUUGAGCUGUGGCGCUGGGUUAACGGCCAUCUUGUGCUGAAGCGCUGGCUCAGCAGCCAUGACGUGAACCGUCUUGGGAACCUCUAGUAUUCUUGAUAGCGUAGCGAAAUAAUCCAAGAAUGAGACAGCGGCCGUCUUGGGCGUCGGUGCUGAGCUGGCAGCCAUCUUGCCCUGUGGGGUGAGGCUGGUUUCCAUUUGGCCUCGUGGUGCGGGGUUGGUGGUUACACACCACAGCGGCGUUGGGUCGGUGGCCAUCUGGCGCCGUGCUUCCUCUCGCCCACCUCCUCCUCGACGACCUCCCCUGGUUCCGCGGAAAACCACCAGGCGAGUUCCUUCAAAACCGCCUCUGUCCCGCUCUGUGACUGGGGAUGAGGCAUGGGCAGACAUACCUGCUGGUUCUCUUGGUGACGGAGUCCUUCUGUCACGUUUUGCGGCGCUUGAAAGAUGGCGAGAGAACCAAUUGCAGGUAAGUAAGAUUUAUUUAUAAGGGUAAUCCAAGAGAGUAAACAGUCCAGGCAGGGUCAAAACCAGAAGAACGAAGCAGACAUAAACAAGACACUAACGCAAGGCAAGACAAGGAUGACAGGCAUGAAAUAGCAUAACAUUAAACAAGGACUCCGUAACAUAGACUAAGACAGACUGGGUAUUUAUACACAGAAGGAUAAUGGGGAAACAGGAGACAGGUGGGGGGAACAAUCAAUUACGCAACAAGGAGGAAGGUGACCAUAUAAGGGAACAGGAAGUGAUCUGGGACAGACACCGUGAGAAGGAGGACAUCUAGUGGAACCCCGGGGAACAACAACCCAGACACUGUGACACCCUUACUAUGCCAAUUGCAUGGCAAUUGUGUUUCAACUGAGUUGGACUAUUCAUGUACCUAGAAAGUUCCAAAAAGAGUAAUAAGAGGAAAAUUGCCAUUCAUUUUACACUUGGUCAAAUUGUGAUCAUACCUGAUUCAUCCAUUCAAAAGAAAAAGGGAAAAAAUCAUUUACUUUCUUAUACAAAACCAAACUUUACUCAGUUAAGAGGCUCAGUGUUGAUUAUUCACUCACCUACUGUGUUGCCUUCCUCUCUCCAGUAGUCUCAUCUUUCUUCUUAUCAAUUGGCCCAUACUGAACAUACUGAUGGGAACAUACUAGUGUGAAAUGCUAAACAUGUUGCACGCUACACUGAGUUUUGCAGUGAACCAUGGUUUGUCAUUGUUGUAGGUUCUGCAAGUGUGGGAAGUUGGACAAAGCAAAAAACUACAAUCAGGAGAAGAACUUACGAGACUAAAGCAAAAGGUGCAAAUAAGGCCAGAUUAGACUUUGCCAAAAAAUCUAUAAAAAACGGCAGACCACUUAUGGAAAAGCAUUCUUUGGACGGCUGAAAUUAAGAUCAGCCUGUACCAGAAUGACAGGAAGACAAAAGUAUGGAUAAGGCUUGGAAAAGCUCAUGAUCCAAAAAAUACAACGUCAUCUGUGAGACAUGGGGCAGUGUGAUACAUGAGCUAGGUUACUGGUGUUUAGUGAUGAUGAGACAGAAGACAGAAGCAGCUGGAUGAACUCUGAAGUGUACAGGGAUAUACUCUCUGGCCAGAUUCAGUCAAAUGCAGCAAAGUUGAUUGGGCUUCGCUUCAGAGUACUAAUGGACAAUGACCCAAAUCACAUGACUAUGACAAUAUAUGGGUUAUCGGAGUUCUUAUUAUAAUUUUUAUUAUAAUUCUCAUUAUAAUAAAGUAAAUAUUAAU